rnacentral:rRNA from 1 species
CCUACGGGUGGCAGCAGUGGGGAAUAUUGGGCAAUGGGCGCAAGCCUGACCCAGCAAUGCCGCGUGAAGGAAGAAGGCUCUCGGGUUGUUAACUUCUUUGACAGGGGAAGAGAAGAAGACGGUACCCUGAAAACAAGCCACGGCUAACUACGUGCCAGCAGCCGCGGUCAUACGUAGGUGGCAAGCGUUGUCCGGAUUUCCUGGGUGUAAAGGGCGUGUAGCCGGGAAGACAAGUCAGAUGUGAAAUCCGGAGGCUCAACCUCCGAAUUGCAGUUGAAACUGUUUUUCUUGAGUACGGGGGAGGCAGACGGAAUUCCUUGUGUAGCGGUGAAAUGCGUAGAUAUAAGGAGGAACACCAGUGGCGAAGGCAGUCUGCUGGACAGCAACUGACGGUGAGGCGCGAAAGCGUGGGGAGCGAACAGGAUUAGAUACCCCAGUAGUC